rnacentral:lncRNA from 1 species
CUUUCUUGAAAAGGUAUCACCAUUUGUUAUUCAGAAAAACAUAAUGCAAUUAACUGUAGAAGGUAAACAAAAAAUGUUGCCUAGAGUUAAUAAAAACAAAGAAUUAAUUUAUAUAAUAUAAGGAAUUAGAUCAAUCAAAACUAGUAUUUUGAGCCCAUAUAUUGAGAGAACUCUCAAUUUACCAGACUAUUGUAUGGUAAGAUUUCA